rnacentral:rRNA from 1 species
GAACCUUAGACAAUGGGGGAAACCCUGAUCUAGCCAUGCCGCGUGAGUGAUGAAGGCCUUCGGGUCGUAAAGCUCUGUGGAGAGGGACGAACUUCCGGCGUUUAAUACACGGCGGAUUGACGGUACCUCUUUAGCAAGCACCGGCUAACUCCGUGCCAGCAGCCGCGGUAAUACGGAGGGUGCAAACGUUGCUCGGAAUCAUUGGGCGUAAAGCGCACGUAGGCGGGUUGUCAAGUCGGAUGUGAAAGCCCUCGGCUUAACUGAGGAAGUGCAUUCGAAACUAGCAGCCUUGAGUACAGAAGAGGGUCGCGGAAUUCCCGGUGUAGAGGUGAAAUUCGUAGAUAUCGGGAGGAACACCAGUGGCGAAGGCGGCGACCUGGGCUGAUACUGACGCUGAGGUGCGAAAGCGUGGGGAGCAAACAGG